GGAAAGACACACACACACACACACACACACACACACAGCAGUGAGGAAGAGAAAAGCAGAGAUAAGCAAGGCUCCGCAGCAGCCUCCUUUCUAACUUGACACUCACCAGACCCUGGCCAGCAUGGUUGUCCUGAAUCCAAUGACUUUGGGAAUUUAUCUUCAGCUUUUCUUCCUGUCUAUCGUGUCUCAGCCGACUUUCAUCAACAGCGUCCUCCCAAUCUCAGCAGCCCUUCCUGGCCUGGAUCAGAAGAAGCGUGGUGGCCACAAAGCAUGCUGCCUGCUGACGCCCCCUCCACCACCACUGUUCCCACCACCAUUCUUCAGAGGUGGCCGAAGUCCGCUUCUCUCCCCAGACAUGAAGAAUCUCAUCCUGGAACUGGAGACCUCGCAGUCCCCGUGCAUGCAAGGCUCGCUAGGCUCCCCUGGGCCUCCCGGCCCCCAGGGUCCACCGGGGCUUCCUGGCAAGACAGGACCAAAGGGAGAAAAGGGGGAGCUUGGCCGACCAGGAAGGAAGGGUAGACCUGGCCCCCCAGGUGUUCCUGGCAUGCCUGGGCCCAUCGGUUGGCCAGGCCCUGAAGGACCCAGGGGUGAAAAAGGUGACCUGGGUAUGAUGGGCUUGCCAGGGUCAAGAGGACCAAUGGGCUCCAAGGGCUACCCUGGAUCCAGAGGGGAAAAGGGAUCCAGAGGUGAAAAGGGUGACUUGGGUCCCAAAGGAGAAAAGGGUUUCCCAGGAUUUCCUGGAAUGUUGGGGCAGAAAGGUGAAAUGGGUCCAAAAGGUGAACCUGGGAUAGCAGGACACCGAGGACCCACGGGAAGACCAGGAAAACGAGGCAAGCAGGGACAGAAAGGGGAUAGUGGAGUUAUGGGCCCACCCGGCAAGCCUGGGCCUUCUGGUCAACCUGGCCGUCCAGGCCCCCCAGGGCCCCCAGGCCCCGCAUCUGCAGGACAACUUAUAAUGGGACCCAAAGGGGAAAGAGGAUUUCCCGGGCCUCCAGGAAGAUGUCUUUGUGGACCCACUAUGAAUGUGAAUAACCCUUCCUACGGGGAAUCCGUGUAUGGGCCCAGUUCCCCGCGAGUUCCUGUGAUUUUUGUGGUCAACAACCAGGAGGAGCUUGAGAGACUGAACACCCAAAAUGCCAUUGCCUUUCGCAGAGACCAGAGAUCUCUGUACUUCAAGGACAGCCUUGGCUGGCUCCCCAUCCAGCUGACCCCUUUCUAUCCUGUGGAUUACACUGCAGACCAGCGCGGCACCUGCGGGGAUGGGCUCCUGCAGCCCGGGGAGGAGUGUGACGAUGGUAACAGCGAUGUGGGUGACGACUGCAUCCGCUGUCACCGUGCCUACUGUGGAGAUGGUCACCGGCAUGAGGGUGUGGAGGACUGUGACGGCUCUGACUUUGGCUACCUGACGUGCGAGACCUAUCUCCCUGGGUCAUAUGGAGACCUGCGAUGCACCCAGUACUGCUACAUCGACUCCACGCCCUGCCGCUACUUCACCUGAGGGCCGUGAGGUGGCCUGCGCCCCACAGAACUGGCAGCAGCUUCUCCACCGUCAUCAAACUGGCCGUGUCCUGGCCCCGUCUCCACCCACCUUUGUGUGACAAAAACAAGGACAAAUUCCUGCUACUAAGACAUGCUGUUAACUCAGUCUGACUGGAAGAAUUUAGGACCACUGCAUCCUGUCUUAAUCCAAGGUACUGGAAAACCUUCCACAUGCCCAGCCUGAGACCUGUUCCCCAUCGCUACCAUCCGGCCGAACAACCGGCUACCAUGCUCUUCCUCCUCUGGAAUGUCGCUGACCCAGGCCGUGGACUUGGCUGAGCACUGUUAGACACACAUAGACCUGCAGGCUGUUUCAGUACGUUUUGAUCUCUUUGGGGAAUCUGGAGUACAGGCCUCUCCGCCCCGACCUCCGAAACGAGCAGGCACUCUCACUCACCCUGGGCAGCUUGCUGUCGGGUCUCUCUAGGCCUAUGAACCACAAAGCAGGGAAGUGGGCACAUUCUCUCAGGGUGGCUCACAGCUUUGAACCUGCCACAGGACCCCAGCCCAGCCUGACGUGGAUGUGGCUGCCCAGGAAGAGACUUAACUGUGAAAAAGUACUGAGAACCCACCUGACCCAGGCUUGCCCCAAGCAGAGGAGAGAGAAGACGCUCCUCUUCUCAGUGUUUCCCAAAGGGAUGGCUCUUGUGGUUCAGAAUCUCCGGCACCAUCUUGACCUCUUGGCUCUCUCUGCACUUUGACCCUGUCUCGAAAAUGUCCCUCAGGUCCAUUUCCUGUCCAGAAGACUCACGAGGACUGUGUGACCUGCACAAGGCCACACCUGGGCAGGGUGGAUCCUUAGGGUGUUGACUGCUGCAGUUUCAAGCUUACAUCUGCACCCUGCAAAAUCCGGAGGAAGAGACAAUGCGUAUUCCAGUGGCUCUCAAGAAACUCCUUUCCAGGCAGGCAUGGUGGCUCAUGCCUGUAAUCCCAGCACUUUGAGAAGCUAAGGACUGGACUGGUUUUGAUGCUUUCACACAUAACAGAAGCUCAAGCUCUGCUCAGCUGACCCCGAAGGAUCCAGCCUGUCUCUGGGCCAGAACUCCUACCAUGACCAGGGAAGUGUAGGGUUGGGAUUUGACCCUGGGCCUCUUAUCUAUCCAACUGCGAAGCCGUUUUAGUAAGAUCUGUAAAGCAAAGUGAGGUUUUUGAUGGAAGCUUGGUCACCAGCACUUCACUUAGGAACCAGUGCUGGGGAAGGGGGUGGGGCAAUUUCUGAGUGUCUCCUGGGACAGACACACAGGCCAUCGCUCCGUUAGGGGCAUGGAGGGUAUGUGUGGGUCAAAUUGCUAAAUAAUCUCCAAAGCUCAUUACAAUUAAUGGGCCGACCUAUUCCCCAAUGCCCGCUUUACUGGAGUUGUUCGGCCCCAUCCUUCCCCUGCAGUAGAGUGAGCCAAUUAAAAUUUUCAGCGAAGCAGUUCUUCAGCACUUGUGUGAUAAUAACCAGCUUACAAGUCAAGGACCUUGGCAAUUCACUAAGGAGACUGUUACAUUUGAGCAAUUCAACAUUACAAUCCAUGGGCCCAGAGGUUUCAGAAGCCUGCUUCCAGCCACCUCCACCAGGGUGCCAGGCAUGUGAUUGAAGCUAGCUUGGACUCUGCAGUCCAGCCCAUCUGCCAGCUAAGUACCACUGAGUGACCUCAGUUAAAGCCACAAGAAGCUCACCUGCCUAGCCAAGCUCUGUCCCAAUUCCUAACCAACAAAUCCCAUGACAUAAAAUGGUGAUUGUUUUAAACCACCAAGUAUUGGGGAGUAGCUUGUUACUUAGCAACAGAUAACUGGAAUAGUGCUCUUGGUAAGAAAUGGCAGGAGGGAAGCAAACUAUAUGCAGUGAAUAAAGGAGGGAGGGCCGAGUCAAGAGAAGCCAUUGGGUGGCUUUUGGUGCCCUCUGCAUGAACCAUGAAUAGAAAUGUCUUAACUCCUACUGGAACUUUCUUAUCUGGCCAGGGACAAUGCCAGAAUUGGGAGGGGACUUAGAGAUCAUGUGGCCCAGUGUUCUCAAACGUGGCAGUCACAGGGCAUGUGAAUGUAAUAGAUGGCAUUAAUAGCCGCAAUUCUUCCCACCUCCCUGUGUCUACACCCUUUCCAGUCUCUUUUGCAACUCCUCCCAUCAAUUUUGGGGAAUGGAUUUCCCCACUUACUCCUUCAUUCUGAACUUAGCUUUCUAACUUGCUUUGGCCAAUGGCGUCUUAGCAAUUGUGACAGAAGCAUUUUGUUUCCUCUCUUAUUCUUACACCUCUCUGCCUUUGCCAUGACAACAUGCCCAGGCUAGGCUGGUGGAGAUGACAUGGAGCAGAGCUGUCGCCCCCACUGUACUGUCAAGGCCAUCCUAGAUUAGCUGAACCUCAGUCAACUGCCAGGCGUAUGAGGGAGCCAAUCAAGACCAGAACUGUCCAGCCAAAGCCAGUCUAAAGCCAACCCAGACUUGUGAGCAAAAUAAAUGCUUAUUAGUCAUUGAGCUUUGGGAUGGUUUGCUACAGAACAUUACGGUGGCAAUAGUUCUGUCGCCCCCACUGUGCUGGCCAAGGCCAUCCUAGAUCAGCUGAACCUCACUCAACUGUCAGGUGUAUGAGGGAGCCAAUCAAGACCAGAACUGUCCAGCCAAGGCCAGUCUAAAGCCAACCUAGACUUGGGAGCAAAAUAAAUGCUUAUUGGUCACUGAGUCUGGGGAUGGUUUGCUAUAGAACAUUACGGUGGCAAUAGUUAACUGAAGAUAAAACUCCCUUCAGUGAUGGACACCACCACUUCCCCACUAAGAAGGUUCAAGUCUAACUACUGUUGCCAUCUGAGGGAACAAGCACAUUGCAGAAUAAGUAGCAGAAGAUUUCGAGACUUAACAUGUAAUUUAAUUCAAUCCAAAUGUAUUCAGCACCCACUAGAGACACUACAGCAAAUUAAAAAGGAAUAUGGCCACUGCCCACCUAGAAGUGUAUACAGUCUAGCAGGGGAGCCAAGACCACAGGUAAAUGUGAGCACUGCUGAAGCAGAAGUGGAGAAUGGAAGCAGGAGGGCAGGAUCACUUCUAGCCAAAUGUCAGCUGGGAGUCAGAGGUGUGUGUAGCAUGGCAUUCGAGGCGGAAGGAAUCUGGUAAACUAAAGUGACAAUAGGAUAUGUCUAGGGAUUCAGUUUAACUGUUGCAUGGUUCUCAGACCCAAAACUAAGCCUUCCUUUUCAGACCAAGUAAAAUGGCCUCAGAUGUGAUUCAGUUGUGAACUUCACACCUUUUAAAAACUGAAGUUCAUCCUUCAGUUUUGAAUGUCACACCUUUUAAAAGCUGAGGUAUACUUCCUAACGAUUAUAAACACCAAAUUAAAAAGGAAUCCAUUUAGUUAGCUAUUUAGCCUUAAGCACAGAAGGUUCUUAAAAGAACCAUAUAUUGCUCACUGAUUUCUAAAAGAAAAUGAAACCCACCAAGAUAUUAAAUGUAUUGCUGACCUUCACUUUUAUUUAAAUAUAGUGAUCUUUUAAGAGAACAAACAAAAAAUACUUUACACAGCAAAUAUUUUACAUAAAUGUAAACAUGCAUGUCUACUUCACAAUUAAGCAAAAAAACUUUUAGGCACAAGACUUUAAAAAUAAAGAAUGAGACAACGAAACCAAGACAGAAAUAACAGAAGUAACAAAAACUCACAUUUCAUAACUCUUCAAUUGGUCUUGUCUUCCAACCUAUUGGUUAAGGCCUGAGUUUCAGAAAUCCUACCUUCCUCGCCAAAUAGAAACAUCCACUUUGGCUGUAUAUAACAUUAUCCACGUAACACACUAAUUCUCUUUCAAAAUAAUGUAAUAAAUACAUCAUUCAUACACACACACACACACACGCACACACACACAGACCCCCACACCCACACCCUGCUGAACCAGCUUCUCAAAUAGGAAAAUAGGGAUUUUGGAAUUUUCAAGUUUUCCUACAACCGAAGCACAUACACACACGUUAACACCUUACACAGAAAAAAUGGUUCUGCUACAGAAAUAAAAUCAUUAAUGAGUGGCAUGAUUACAAACAUCUAGUUCAUUUGCAUUAAGUUUCCUCAAUCACAACUUUUACUAAGGUUUACUAAGCACCUCAGAUACUUCAGAUUUAAUUAAGUCUUUCAUCUCAUCUAAUGACCCACAGUACAGUAGACAUUGUACAGC